rnacentral:rRNA from 2 species
UGAAGAGUUUGAUCAUGGCUCAGAUUGAACGCUGGCGGCAGGCCUAACACAUGCAAGUCGAACGGUAACAGGAAGCAGCUUGCUGCUUCGCUGACGAGUGGCGGACGGGUGAGUAAUGUCUGGGAAACUGCCUGAUGGAGGGGGAUAACUACUGGAAACGGUGGCUAAUACCGCAUAACGUCGCAAGACCAAAGAGGGGGACCUUCGGGCCUCUUGCCAUCAGAUGUGCCCAGAUGGGAUUAGCUAGUUGGUGAGGUAACGGCUCACCAAGGCGACGAUCCCUAGCUGGUCUGAGAGGAUGACCAGCCACACUGGAACUGAGACACGGUCCAGACUCCUACGGGAGGCAGCAGUGGGGAAUAUUGCACAAUGGGCGCAAGCCUGAUGCAGCCAUGCCGCGUGUAUGAAGAAGGCCUUCGGGUUGUAAAGUACUUUCAGCGGGGAGGAAGGUGUUGUGGUUAAUAACCGCAGCAAUUGACGUUACCCGCAGAAGAAGCACCGGCUAACUCCGUGCCAGCAGCCGCGGUAAUACGGAGGGUGCAAGCGUUAAUCGGAAUUACUGGGCGUAAAGCGCACGCAGGCGGUCUGUCAAGUCGGAUGUGAAAUCCCCGGGCUCAACCUGGGAACUGCAUUCGAAACUGGCAGGCUUGAGUCUUGUAGAGGGGGGUAGAAUUCCAGGUGUAGCGGUGAAAUGCGUAGAGAUCUGGAGGAAUACCGGUGGCGAAGGCGGCCCCCUGGACAAAGACUGACGCUCAGGUGCGAAAGCGUGGGGAGCAAACAGGAUUAGAUACCCUGGUAGUCCACGCCGUAAACGAUGUCUACUUGGAGGUUGUGCCCUUGAGGCGUGGCUUCCGGAGCUAACGCGUUAAGUAGACCGCCUGGGGAGUACGGCCGCAAGGUUAAAACUCAAAUGAAUUGACGGGGGCCCGCACAAGCGGUGGAGCAUGUGGUUUAAUUCGAUGCAACGCGAAGAACCUUACCUGGUCUUGACAUCCACAGAACUUUCCAGAGAUGGAUUGGUGCCUUCGGGAACUGUGAGACAGGUGCUGCAUGGCUGUCGUCAGCUCGUGUUGUGAAAUGUUGGGUUAAGUCCCGCAACGAGCGCAAC